rnacentral:rRNA from 1 species
GGGUUGUGAGGUUAAGCGACUAAGCGUACACGGUGGAUGCCCUGGCAGUCAGAGGCGAUGAAGGACGUGCUAAUCUGCGAUAAGCGUCGGUAAGGUGAUAUGAACCGUUAUAACCGGCGAUUUCCGAAUGGGGAAACCCAGUGUGAUUCGUCACACUAUCAUUAACUGAAUCCAUAGGUUAAUGAGGCGAACCGGGGGAACUGAAACAUCUAAGUACCCCGAGGAAAAGAAAUCAACCGAGAUUCCCCCAGUAGCGGCGAGCGAACGGGGAGGAGCCCAGAGCCUGAAUCAGUGUGUGUGUUAGUGGAAGCGUCUGGAAAGGCGCGCGAUACAGGGUGACAGCCCCGUACACAAAAAUGCACAUGCUGUGAGCUCGAUGAGUAGGGCGGGACACGUGGUAUCCUGUCUGAAUAUGGGGGGACCAUCCUCCAAGGCUAAAUACUCCUGACUGACCGAUAGUGAACCAGUACCGUGAGGGAAAGGCGAAAAGAACCCCGGCGAGGGGAGUGAAAAAGAACCUGAAACCGUGUACGUACAAGCAGUGGGAGCACGCUUCGGCGUGUGACUGCGUACCUUUUGUAUAAUGGGUCAGCGACUUAUAUUCUGUAGCAAGGUUAACCGAAUAGGGGAGCCGAAGGGAAACCGAGUCUUAACUGGGCGUUAAGUUGCAGGGUAUAGACCCGAAACCCGGUGAUCUAGCCAUGGGCAGGUUGAAGGUUGGGUAACACUAACUGGAGGACCGAACCGACUAAUGUUGAAAAAUUAGCGGAUGACUUGUGGCUGGGGGUGAAAGGCCAAUCAAACCGGGAGAUAGCUGGUUCUCCCCGAAAGCUAUUUAGGUAGCGCCUCGUGAAUUCAUCUCCGGGGGUAGAGCACUGUUUCGGCAAGGGGGUCAUCCCGACUUACCAACCCGAUGCAAACUGCGAAUACCGGAGAAUGUUAUCACGGGAGACACACGGCGGGUGCUAACGUCCGUCGUGAAGAGGGAAACAACCCAGACCGCCAGCUAAGGUCCCAAAGUCAUGGUUAAGUGGGAAACGAUGUGGGAAGGCCCAGACAGCCAGGAUGUUGGCUUAGAAGCAGCCAUCAUUUAAAGAAAGCGUAAUAGCUCACUGGUCGAGUCGGCCUGCGCGGAAGAUGUAACGGGGCUAAACCAUGCACCGAAGCUGCGGCAGCGACACUAUGUGUUGUUGGGUAGGGGAGCGUUCUGUAAGCCUGCGAAGGUGUACUGUGAGGUAUGCUGGAGGUAUCAGAAGUGCGAAUGCUGACAUAAGUAACGAUAAAGCGGGUGAAAAGCCCGCUCGCCGGAAGACCAAGGGUUCCUGUCCAACGUUAAUCGGGGCAGGGUGAGUCGACCCCUAAGGCGAGGCCGAAAGGCGUAGUCGAUGGGAAACAGGUUAAUAUUCCUGUACUUGGUGUUACUGCGAAGGGGGGACGGAGAAGGCUAUGUUGGCCGGGCGACGGUUGUCCCGGUUUAAGCGUGUAGGCUGGUUUUCCAGGCAAAUCCGGAAAAUCAAGGCUGAGGCGUGAUGACGAGGCACUACGGUGCUGAAGCAACAAAUGCCCUGCUUCCAGGAAAAGCCUCUAAGCAUCAGGUAACAUCAAAUCGUACCCCAAACCGACACAGGUGGUCAGGUAGAGAAUACCAAGGCGCUUGAGAGAACUCGGGUGAAGGAACUAGGCAAAAUGGUGCCGUAACUUCGGGAGAAGGCACGCUGAUAUGUAGGUGAAGCGACUUGCUCGUGGAGCUGAAAUCAGUCGAAGAUACCAGCUGGCUGCAACUGUUUAUUAAAAACACAGCACUGUGCAAACACGAAAGUGGACGUAUACGGUGUGACGCCUGCCCGGUGCCGGAAGGUUAAUUGAUGGGGUCAGCGGUAACGCGAAGCUCUUGAUCGAAGCCCCGGUAAACGGCGGCCGUAACUAUAACGGUCCUAAGGUAGCGAAAUUCCUUGUCGGGUAAGUUCCGACCUGCACGAAUGGCGUAAUGAUGGCCAGGCUGUCUCCACCCGAGACUCAGUGAAAUUGAACUCGCUGUGAAGAUGCAGUGUACCCGCGGCAAGACGGAAAGACCCCGUGAACCUUUACUAUAGCUUGACACUGAACAUUGAGCCUUGAUGUGUAGGAUAGGUGGGAGGCUUUGAAGUGUGGACGCCAGUCUGCAUGGAGCCGACCUUGAAAUACCACCCUUUAAUGUUUGAUGUUCUAACGUUGGCCCCUGAUCGGGGUUGCGGACAGUGUCUGGUGGGUAGUUUGACUGGGGCGGUCUCCUCCUAAAGAGUAACGGAGGAGCACGAAGGUUGGCUAAUCCUGGUCGGACAUCAGGAGGUUAGUGCAAUGGCAUAAGCCAGCUUGACUGCGAGCGUGACGGCGCGAGCAGGUGCGAAAGCAGGUCAUAGUGAUCCGGUGGUUCUGAAUGGAAGGGCCAUCGCUCAACGGAUAAAAGGUACUCCGGGGAUAACAGGCUGAUACCGCCCAAGAGUUCAUAUCGACGGCGGUGUUUGGCACCUCGAUGUCGGCUCAUCACAUCCUGGGGCUGAAGUAGGUCCCAAGGGUAUGGCUGUUCGCCAUUUAAAGUGGUACGCGAGCUGGGUUUAGAACGUCGUGAGACAGUUCGGUCCCUAUCUGCCGUGGGCGCUGGAGAACUGAGGGGGGCUGCUCCUAGUACGAGAGGACCGGAGUGGACGCAUCACUGGUGUUCGGGUUGUCAUGCCAAUGGCACUGCCCGGUAGCUAAAUGCGGAAGAGAUAAGUGCUGAAAGCAUCUAAGCACGAAACUUGCCCCGAGAUGAGUUCUCCCUGACUCCUUGAGAGUCCUGAAGGAACGUUGAAGACGACGACGUUGAUAGGCCGGGUGUGUAAGCGCAGCGAUGCGUUGAGCUAACCGGUACUAAUGAACCGUGAGGCUUAACCUUACAACGCCGAAG